rnacentral:rRNA from 1 species
UUAAGCGACUAAGCGUACACGGUGGAUGCCCUGGCAGUCAGAGGCGAUGAAGGACGUGCUAAUCUGCGAAAAGCGUCGGUAAGGUGAUAUGAACCGUUAUAACCGGCGAUGUCCGAAUGGGGAAACCCAGUGCAAUUCGUUGCACUAUCGUUAACUGAAUACAUAGGUUAACGAGGCGAACCGGGGGAACUGAAACAUCUAAGUACCCCGAGGAAAAGAAAUCAACCGAGAUUCCCCCAGUAGCGGCGAGCGAACGGGGAGCAGCCCAGAGUCUGAAUCAGCUUGUGUGUUAGUGGAACGGUCUGGAAAGUCCGACGGUACAGGGUGAUAGUCCCGUACACCAAAAUGCACAGGCUGUGAACUCGAAGAGUAGGGCGGGACACGUGGUAUCCUGUCUGAAUAUGGGGGGACCAUCCUCCAAGGCUAAAUACUCCUGACUGACCGAUAGUGAACCAGUACCGUGAGGGAAAGGCGAAAAGAACCCCGGCGAGGGGAGUGAAAAAGAACCUGAAACCGUGUACGUACAAGCAGUGGGAGCACCUUCGGGUGUGACUGCGUACCUUUUGUAUAAUGGGUCAGCGACUUAUAUUCUGUAGCAAGGUUAACCGUAUAGGGGAGCCGCAGGGAAACCGAGUCUUAACUGGGCGUUAAGUUGCAGGGUAUAGACCCGAAACCCGGUGAUCUAGCCAUGGGCAGGUUGAAGGUUGGGUAACACUAACUGGAGGACCGAACCGACUAAUGUUGAAAAAUUAGCGGAUGACUUGUGGCUGGGGGUGAAAGGCCAAUCAAACCGGGAGAUAGCUGGUUCUCCCCGAAAGCUAUUUAGGUAGCGCCUCGUGAAUUCAUCUUCGGGGGUAGAGCACUGUUUCGGCUAGGGGGUCAUCCCGACUUACCAACCCGAUGCAAACUACGAAUACCGAAGAAUGUUAUCACGGGAGACACACGGCGGGUGCUAACGUCCGUCGUGAAGAGGGAAACAACCCAGACCGCCAGCUAAGGUCCCAAAGUCAUGGUUAAGUGGGAAACGAUGUGGGAAGGCACAGACAGCCAGGAUGUUGGCUUAGAAGCAGCCAUCAUUUAAAGAAAGCGUAAUAGCUCACUGGUCGAGUCGGCCUGCGCGGAAGAUGUAACGGGGCUAAACCAUGCACCGAAGCUGCGGCAGCGACACUAUGUGUUGUUGGGUAGGGGAGCGUUCUGUAAGCCUGCGAAGGUGACCUGUGAGGGUUGCUGGAGGUAUCAGAAGUGCGAAUGCUGACAUAAGUAACGAUAAAGCGGGUGAAAAGCCCGCUCGCCGGAAGACCAAGGGUUCCUGUCCAACGUUAAUCGGGGCAGGGUGAGUCGACCCCUAAGGCGAGGCCGAAAGGCGUAGUCGAUGGGAAACAGGUUAAUAUUCCUGUACUUGGUGUUACUGCGAAGGGGGGACGGAGAAGGCUAUGUUAGCCGGGCGACGGUUGUCCCGGUUUAAGCAUGUAGGCUGGUUAUCCAGGCAAAUCCGGAUAAUCAAGGCUGAGGUGUGAUGACGAGGCACUACGGUGCUGAAGUAACAAAUGCCCUGCUUCCAGGAAAAGCCUCUAAGCAUCAGGUAACAUUAAAUCGUACCCCAAACCGACACAGGUGGUCAGGUAGAGAAUACCAAGGCGCUUGAGAGAACUCGGGUGAAGGAACUAGGCAAAAUGGUGCCGUAACUUCGGGAGAAGGCACGCUGGUGUGUAGGUGAAGUCCCUGCGGAUGGAGCUGAGACCAGUCGAAGAUACCAGCUGGCUGCAACUGUUUAUUAAAAACACAGCACUGUGCAAACACGAAAGUGGACGUAUACGGUGUGACGCCUGCCCGGUGCCGGAAGGUUAAUUGAUGGGGUUAUCCGUAAGGAGAAGCUCUUGAUCGAAGCCCCGGUAAACGGCGGCCGUAACUAUAACGGUCCUAAGGUAGCGAAAUUCCUUGUCGGGUAAGUUCCGACCUGCACGAAUGGCGUAAUGAUGGCCAGGCUGUCUCCACCCGAGACUCAGUGAAAUUGAACUCGCUGUGAAGAUGCAGUGUACCCGCGGCAAGACGGAAAGACCCCGUGAACCUUUACUAUAGCUUGACACUGAACAUUGAGCCUUGAUGUGUAGGAUAGGUGGGAGGCUUUGAAGCGUGGACGCCAGUCUGCGUGGAGCCAACCUUGAAAUACCACCCUUUAAUGUUUGAUGUUCUAACGUUGGCCCCUGACCGGGGUUGCGGACAGUGUCUGGUGGGUAGUUUGACUGGGGCGGUCUCCUCCCAAAGCGUAACGGAGGAGCACGAAGGUUAGCUAAUCCUGGUCGGACAUCAGGAGGUUAGUGCAAUGGCAUAAGCUGGCUUGACUGCGAGCGUGACGGCGCGAGCAGGUGCGAAAGCAGGUCAUAGUGAUCCGGUGGUUCUGAAUGGAAGGGCCAUCGCUCAACGGAUAAAAGGUACUCCGGGGAUAACAGGCUGAUACCGCCCAAGAGUUCAUAUCGACGGCGGUGUUUGGCACCUCGAUGUCGGCUCAUCACAUCCUGGGGCUGAAGUAGGUCCCAAGGGUAUGGCUGUUCGCCAUUUAAAGUGGUACGCGAGCUGGGUUUAGAACGUCGUGAGACAGUUCGGUCCCUAUCUGCCGUGGGCGCUGGAGAAUUGAGGGGGGCUGCUCCUAGUACGAGAGGACCGGAGUGGACGCAUCACUGGUGUUCGGGUUGUCAUGCCAAUGGCACUGCCCGGUAGCUAAAUGCGGAAGAGAUAAGUGCUGAAAGCAUCUAAGCACGAAACUUGCCCCGAGAUGAGUUCUCCCUGAGACUUUAAGUCUCCUGAAGGAACGUUGAAGACGACGACGUUGAUAGGCCGGGUGUGUAAGCGCAGCGAUGCGUUGAGCUAACCGGUACUAAUGAACCGUGAGGCUUAACCUU